rnacentral:ncRNA from 2 species
AAACCGUGCUAGAGGUGCCGAACUCGGCUGAGAAAUGAUUUAGUCAUUAACUCUUAUCACCUGAUCUGGAUAAUACCAGCGUAGGGAAGCAGUCUCGACUCGCU